UUUAGAUGGACCGAACGGCUCCGAUGUCUCCUGUAGCUUUGAAUCCAGAGCAAUCAGUUUAAAGAACAAAAGUAAAAACAGUUGCUUUAGAAGCACUUGAGUCUCCAAACACAAAAGACUUUGAGGUGAAAGUGCUCCUGCCUUCUGCUUUGAGCUUUGCUUUAUUAUAAAAAGCACAGACGGACAUCAAGGCCACAUCGAGGUGUAACUACAGUAAAGAACAAAUCGAGUCAGAAAUCUGUUCUCAGGAUGGACCUUUGGGCUGGAGACAGGGAAGUCUGCAUUUACUACAGGAGGGUGAAAUGUGUGCUGCAUAUUGUGCUGGAAGUUAUAAGGAGCAGGCGGUCUGAGGGGAGAUUGAGUUGUGAUUGGUGGAACUGGAAAAAUGUUUAUCUUGCUCUGGAGUACAGAGGGUGCAAUGGACUGUGAAUAGCAAGAGAAGACAGCUCCCCGGAGUGAGAGGCUGGAGUGAGGGCCUUACAGCUGUUUUCUGGAGAUAAUUGAUUUUGGAAUAGACCAGAGAUGAGAGCGGACAGGCGGGGGUGAUGGCGCGCUGCAUCGGGGUCCAAGCCAAUUUCCACAGGCCUUGUCCCUUUAAUUACUGCAGCGGCAGAGCAUGGGGUGCACCCAUUCUCCCAUCCAGGUAAAUUAAAGCCCCUUGCGCAACCAACCUUGCUGCAUCCUCAUCACCCAGUGGCCUGAUGAAUUUUUUAUGCAUUGGCCUCUCUCCUUCUUGAGCCUGCCACUGUGGCUGGAGGCGGUGCUGUUGGUGCCUUUUCCAUGCUUUAUAAAAAUUGUUUCCUGA